rnacentral:rRNA from 1 species
UGGAGCAUGUGGUUAAUUCGAAGCAAACGCGAAGAACCUUACCAGGCCUUGACAUGCAGAGAACUUCCAGAGAUGGAUUGGUGCCUUCGGGAACUCUGACACAGGUGCUGCAUGGCUGUCGUCAGCUCGUGUCGUGAGAUGUUGGGUUAAGUCCCGUAACGAGCGCAACCCUUGUCCUUAGUUGCCAGCAGUUCGGCUGGGCACUCUAAAGGGACUGCCGGUGUUAAACCGGAGGAAGGUGGGGAUGACGUCAAGUCCUCAUGGCCUUUAUGACCAGGGCUACACACGUACUACAAUGGCCGAUACAAAGGGCAGCGACACUGCGAGGUGAAGCCAAUCCCGUAAAAUCGGUCUCAGUCCGGAUUGGAGUCUGCAACUCGACUCCAUGAAGUUGGAAUCGCUAGUAAUCGUGGAUCAGCAUGCCACGGUGAAUACGUUCCCGGGCCUU